rnacentral:tRNA from 1 species
GCUGGCGUGGCUCAGCGGUAGAGCAGUCGAUUCGUAAUCGACAGGUCGAGGGUUCAAGUCCCUCCGCCAGCUCCA